rnacentral:snoRNA from 1 species
UAAAAUGAUGUUAAAAAAAAACUGAAUAAUGUGGCAUGAUUUUCACAUAACCGCAACACAAAAUCCAAUAGGUCCUACUGAAUAU